rnacentral:lncRNA from 1 species
AGUUGAUCGGCUGGAGAGAACGCGAGUGGCAGUAGUUCGUGGGUUGUACUGUGCUUGGGGUUCAAAUUGCUCUGUAUUUAUAGGGGAUUUGGGGAAGGGUGCGAGGCACGGGCCUUGGCCGAAUGCCCGGGCCCGAAUCCCCGAGCCCGAGACCGUCCGAUCGGGAGCAGAUUUUUUAUUUUUUAUUUUUUAUGGCCGAAUGCCCGAGCCGGAUCUUGAGGCUGUCCGAUCGGAACAGAAUGUGUCAGGGAUGGAUGGAUGACCAGUUGCAGUGGCCCGUCUCGGACAGAAGAGUGCUAGCCUCGGAAAGUCAGAACUCAGGAGGCCGAGCCAGAAAGUCGUAAC